rnacentral:misc_RNA from 1 species
UGAAUUAUCUCAAUCAAACAAGUUCAUAAAUCUAGAGAGGCCACAAGAAAAUCCUGUUGACACAAGUAUUAAGCUACGUUCAAUAGGAUGCAUGUAUAGCAAGAUCAUGUUUUGUGGUCACCCAAAUUAAUUUCAGCAAUACAAUUACAAAGCAAUCCUCCAUGCGUAGCUCAUAUGUAUGCAAAAUGGGUGGAUAUUGAUUCUACAGAUGCACAAUCUACAAGUAGCUCAUUUGCAAUUGAUUUUCACAAUUCAUCAUUAGAAUUCAGAUUUCAAUCUAAAGACUAUCCUAUAAAGGAAAUUACAUACAUGAUGCAACAUUGAAUGAGAAGAAAUCUCAAAAAUAUUGAAUGUUAUCAUUGAGUACACUCCAAAAUCUUUGAAGAAUCCUACGAGUCCAGCGUAACUGCUGGAUAUUCUUGAUAGCCCGUGAUGCCUGUUAUCCUUAUUCUUGUAUUUGGCUGCAUAAUCAAGUCAACCAUAUCAAAACAUCACAGAAAGAAUGAGUCAACAGAAGGUUGCAUUCAUCAAUCGAACUAGACAAAAGAAAUAACGACAGAUCUUUCAUUUUAUUUCACUUUCAUUCUUCUUGAAAUGAUAGGGCCAUUAUCAGAUAUAAAAGUUCAUUCCCACUGUGUGUGUGUGGUGGGGGAAGGGAAUCAUACUCUAUUGUAUGCAGCCUCUCCCUUUCUGGCUGUUUCCACGACUUGAACCCAUGAGAUUCUAGACACGAUAGAGCACCAUGGUUUGCUCUCGCCAAGUUAAAAUUUUAUUAUGCAAGGGCUAUUAUCUUAUACAACAUCAACAACUAAACUUUAAUCCCAAACUAGUAGUGGUCAAUUAUAUUGAUCCUUUUUCACCAAUUAAUUUAGCUCUAUUUGAAAUCAAUUCUGAAUUAAUAUUUAAAAAUUGUAAAUCCCUUUAUAUUGCUUCCUUUCAUAUCAUUUUAGGUCUCUCUCUUUCUCUUCUCACUCCUUCCACAUACUUUCCUACUGGGACACCUGAUACUCUAUAUUGGACAUGAACAAACCAUCUUAAUCGGCCAUCUCUUAUUUUAUUCUCAAUGUGUGCUACACACACUCUUUAACGAAUGAAGUUAUUCGUAAUUUUAUCUAUUAUCAUAAAACUAGACAUUUCUUUACAUUUGCAUUUCCAUCAUAUUCAUCUUGUUGGUAUGUUGUACCUUAAAUAUCCAACAUUCACUCUCCUAUAACAUAGCUGACCUGACCACAGUUAUAUAGAACGUGCAUUUUACUUUUUCAGGAUUCCCACAAUCGCAUAGCACCUCCAUUCCUUCUACUAGAAUUAAAUUCGCAAUAAAUAUAUUCAGUCUUAUUUCUACUUAGCCUAAGACCCUUACUCUCAAGAGUCAUUCUCCUUAAUUCCAACUUUUAGUUAACUCCAUUAGUUUUAUGAUUAAGACAACAUUAUCUGCAAAUAACAUGCACCAUGUACAUCAUCCUAAAUAUGAUUGGGCUAUCAUCUUAUAUAGUAGUUAAAUUUUACAUCAUCCUAAAUAUGAUUGGGCUAUCAUCUUAUAUAGUAGUUAAAUUUUACAUCAUCCUAAAUAUGAUUGGGCUAUCAUCUUAUAUAGUAGUUAAAUUU